AGGAACGAAGCAACGCUGCAAGGGACAGAUUCCGCGGUGUGGUCACAUGUUGCUCUACGAGCACGGCCCCAGCACACGCUGACGCAGCAGUGCCUUACUUCGCUGCCGUCCCUGCCCGACUCGCUUGCCCGUUUUCCAGUGCGGCGUGCCAAGGUCUUCCUUGGCGUAGCCGGCUAACCUCCGAAGAGGGCCUCUCCGCACACCCACCGGGUUGCACGUGCCUGCUUUGUUUGUUUCCUGGCAUGUCGUGCACUUGUCCUCUGCUCGUUUGCACCACUCUCUCUCUCUCUGAAGACCAGCUUGCUGUGUUGCUGUUGAGGGCGGGUCACGGAGCAGGGAAAAUUAGGGAUUACAAGGGAUGCGUACAUGACGCUCAAGUCGCAUCGUCAGGCAGGAUUGGGGGAGAGGUUUGGCGUAGGAAUGCACAUACAUAUAUGCUUUCAUGUGCCGUAUUCCGCGCUUGAUGGGUGGUUGAGGUCAUUUUUUCCCUCAUUCCGAGUACCUCUCCCUGCCGAAGAAACGAAGUCGUGUGUUAUUGAACACGCCGCUUUUCUUUCCUUGAGCGUGUCUGCUGUGCUGUUGCUCAUGAGUCCCUUUCCUCGUCGCUCGUUACGGCACUACUGUGCUCUCCGCUCCAGCGCGCGUGCGCGCAUGCGUCUGCUUCACUAUGAGGAGAAGCGAGAAGCGUUGUGGACAAGUGUACGGGGCCGGAAAAAAA
rnacentral:misc_RNA from 1 species